UAUCUUCAGUCAGACUUGAAACUUGACGUCGUGACGGUACAUUUUCUUCGUUAACUAGCUUCAAUUUUUGUACUAAAUUCGUAACCGUCUGUUUUCGUCAAGCUUCGAUAUUUUAUAUUUCUGACCAUUGUAUCACAUCAAAGUUCGAGAAUCAAGUGAAAGACAGUGCGAAUACCGUUAUACUUCGUCUGCCGUCCAGUUUUCUCUGCGAAAUUUGAAACGACCUGAUUCUGCAUUCGCUCCGUAGCCACGCAUCCGCGUGGGAGUUUAGCCACAGUAGUCGACGAGGUCGAUCGAUAUCUCGAAUUCAGUCUCCCUCCCCUUGCAUCCCGAGAGACAGUCACGACCUCGAGGGUUGUUGGCCUCGUUUCAACCCCUCGCCGGAACGCGAACGUAUAAGGAGCUGAUGAAUAUU